AUGUGCACCCAAAUAUUCACCUUAUUUAGUAUGUGGCAACCCAUAUUCUCAUCCCAAGAAAACAUAACCUCAGGAAAAUAUCCAAAACCGAGUUUGGUAAGCAGACAUGACAUAAGCGGCACAGCUAGAUUUGGGGCUUCCAUACGACACCUUCACUUCUCUUCUCCUGUUGGAUUCAGGGUUUGUGUGUUGAUGUGCCUGCUAUGCACAUUGAGUUUGUUGAAGAUCAAGGAAGAUAGCUACCUUGAAUCAACACAAAGAUAG